GAUCCUAGUUAAGAGGAAUUUGUGACAGAUCACCAGGUUUCCACCUGAUUUCUUAUCAAAGCGGCCUUGGACCACUCAGAAUCCUGUUUAGCUAUUUUCCCCAGCUUCCCCUUUUCCACUUUAAAAGGCCCUGUAGUUAACUUGCAAGGGGAGAAGAGUGUAUUUGCAGCCAUGGAGUUGCCUUCCUCCUGGUGGCUACUCCAAUAACUUACUGUUAUUCUUUAUCUGUGAUCUUUGGGUAAAACUUUUCCUCCCUGGUUGAUUGAAAAUGUUUAGUGAUGUGAGAUAUCCUUGACUGUCAGGCAGAUAAUUAGACAUUAGUGAUGGGGGAGGGGCCACAAGACCCUCUUCCAGGGGUGAAAUCAAGGACCUUGACCUCCACCCAAGACCCACUCAAGACUGCCCAAUUUGCAGUUUAACCUGUGGUUAAAGUAUCCUGAUAAAACAGGAGCUAAGCCAAUCCAGAAAAGCUUAGUUUGUAGUUACAUGCACAAAGAGCCCAAAGGCAUGCGACUCCCAGCUGUCAACUACAAAUGCCAACCAUGAGCAUCAUGGCCACAUCACUAGUCAAUCCACUCAUUCUUCAGGAAUAAAAGUCCCAAAUCAGGACGAAAGGUUGCCAUGUGCUCUCUUGACUGCCCCAUUGCUUUACUACCUUUUGCUUUACUACCUUUUGCUUUACUAACUUUUGUCUCUCUGAAUUACAAUUCGUUACUCCAUCAAUGAAAAGAAAGCAAGACAAGCCAGCCACCAUCAGUAACAUCUUUGGAGCAUGACUCAGAUCACUGUAUUGAAAGCAGGCAAGCCGAUUACUGCUCCCUUGGAAUAAAGGCAAGGAAAAGAACCAAAUCAUCACCAGAUAUCUUUAAAAAGACCAGAAAAGGAGAACAGCUGAUAUUAUCAUAUAUUCAGUUACUUCCAGAAAUGUGGAUUUUUACUCAAUUAAAAUUGAAACUGGGGCUGGCGCUAGAGUGCAGCAGGUUAACAUCCUGGCCUAAAGUGCCGACAUCCCAUAUGGGCACCGGUUCAAGUCCUGGAUGCUCCACUUCCAAUCCAGCUCUCUGCUAUGGCCCUGGAAAGCAGUAGAAGAUAGCCCAAGUCCUUGGGCCCCUGCCACGUGGGAGACCCGGAAGAAGCUCCUGGCUCCUGGCUUCAGAUUGGCGCAGUUCCGGCCAUUGUGGCUAAUUGGGGAGUGAACCAUCGGAUGGAAGACCUCUCUCUCUCUCGCUCUCUCUCUAGCUCUCUCUGCCUCUCUUCUCUCUAUGUAACUCUUUCAAAUAAAUAAAUAUAUCUUUAAAAAUAUUGAAGCUAC
rnacentral:lncRNA from 1 species